AAAACUCAAAUGAAUUGACGGGGGCCCGCACAAGCGGUGGAGCAUGUGGUUUAAUUCGAUGCAACGCGAAGAACCUUACCUGGUCUUGACAUCCACGGAAGUUUUCAGAGAUGAGAAUGUGCCUUCGGGAACCGUGAGACAGGUGCUGCAUGGCUGUCGUCAGCUCGUGUUGUGAAGUGUUGGGUUAAGUCCCGCAACGAGCGCAACCCUUAUCCUUUGUUGCCAGCGGUCCGGCCGGGAACUCAAAGGAGACUGCCAGUGAUAAACUGGAGGAAGGUGGGGAUGACGUCAAGUCAUCAUGGCCCUUACGACCAGGGCUACACACGUGCUACAAUGGCGCAUACAAAGAGAAGCGACCUCGCGAGAGCAAGCGGACCUCAUAAAGUGCGUCGUAGUCCGGAUUGGAGUCUGCAACUCGACUCCAUGAAGUCGGAAUCGCUAGUAAUCGUGGAUCAGAAUGCCACGGUGAAUACGUUCCCGGGCCUUGUACACACCGCCCGUCACACCAUGGGAGUGGGUUGCAAAAGAAGUAGGUAGCUUAACCUUCGGGAGGGCGCUUACCACUUUGUGAUUCAUGACUGGGGUGAAGUCGUAACAAGGUAACC
rnacentral:rRNA from 1 species